CAUGUCGUUAAAAUGUUUGUGACCUUAUGUACACUUAAUCAUAUCACAGCCAUUUUGACGAGUUUGG
rnacentral:pre_miRNA from 1 species